GGCGGGGCCUGGACUCGGCGGGAUCGCUGUGGUGGUGUCUUGCUGCGAUGUUGGAUGUUAGGCUCUGGCUUUCCAGCAAAACAGCCAUGACAGCAGCCAGAGAAGCUUGAGUAGCCCACAGGUGAGAGGGAGCACUUGCACAGCCAUGGAGAAGAACUUCAACAGACAAUGACCAAGAAGGAAGUUUGUGAGGACUCCCAGUGAGGCUAAGAACUCCUUUAGAAAGCUCAGCCGUGGGGUGGGAUUCUCAGCACCUGGGCAUCCAAGGCCCCAACCCCACCAGAACGGACCACAGACUCUUCAGUUGACGAGUCCACCUGUUCUCGUGGCAUCAGAAGGACCCUGAAGGAGUGAGUGCCCAGCUGACAGCUCCCACUCGGCCAAGCCACUCCUUCCCAGCACCACCCCC